rnacentral:tRNA from 1 species
AAAGAUUUAGGUUUAAUCUAGACCAAAGGCCUUCAAAGCCUUAAGCAGGAGUUAAAAUCUCCUAAUCUUUG